rnacentral:lncRNA from 1 species
AACAGAGAAUUUGGGAGAAUCAAAAUAAAAUGUCACACAUGUGAAAUGUAAUGCUGUUUUUAAUCGUGGAAAUGCAGUUUGACUAGAGUAUGCUGAAAUGUGAUCACAUAUCAUCCCCAGAAGAGCACUCUGAAGUGGGUAUUACUAUUUUAUCCCUAUUUUACAGAUGAGAGGACUGAGGCACACACAAAUAAAGUGGCCAAAGUUAUUUGAAGCCCUGAUAUCUAACUACAAGACCUAUGCCCUUAAUUCUUUUUUUUUUUUUUUUUGAGACAGAGUCUCUCUCUGUCACCCAGGCUGGAGUGCAGUGGCGUGAUCUUGGCUCACUGCAGUCUCAGCCUCCUGGGUUCAAGCGAUUCUCCUGCCUCAGCCUCCCAAAGUGCUGGGAUUACAGGUGUGAGCCACCGCACUCAGCCAGUGGUAGUUAUUUCUAAGAGUUCUUGCAUAUCUUUGAAGUAGCUUUUUAGGUUUAUUAAAAAAUAGACCAAAAUUAAAAUAAUUAAAUGUAAGGCAUGGUUACUUUUAAAUAACUGGGGAGGUAGUAUUAUUUUAAAAUAUUAUUGAAAAAAAACCCGCUGAUGAAGUACAGCUCUGGCAUGACCAAUCGUUACUAUUACUCAGGUCAAAAGAAAGCCCAGAGCCUCUGAACACAUCAAUACUGAAGAGACGGGGGAAAAUUUUAGAAAAAAGAUUACACAGAGGCACGGGUUGGUAGCUUUUAAAUAAUGAAACUCAAAAGCUUCCCAGCUGUAGGAACAGGCAAGGCUGUUUUAAGUUUUAACAUUUGGUCUUGAAAUUCCCACCCCUUGUAAAAUUGCAUCCCUUCCUCUUCUGCCAGUGUAAUGGAAAUUCCCACUCCUUCAGUUUAAGCCUCUGUGUCUCUAGAAUGCAAAUUGUGUUCUCUAGGAGUAAUAGCAUAAUAAUCCAAUAAUACUAAGUCUUUCAGAUUAGAUUGUAUUAGAUUAACUAGGUGUUACCUUGGAAAAUACAGUGCUUUGCCCUGAGGGAACAGGACACAGAAGAAGCUGACUUGGAGGAAAGGAAAGAUCUGGAGUCUCAGGCUCAGGGGGCCUUUGGGCAGCCAAGGGCACUGGGGGGCAGGAGAGAACUGCUAGUUAACGAUUUAGCCAGCUGCUUGUUCUGCUGGGGAGAGUUCAGCUCGGCUUUCCAGUUCCCUGCAACCUUGAGGUCUAACACAGUUUAUUCUAAGGUUGUGCUCUCAAAACUCAUUCUCUUUUGUGUUGAAGCAGAGGAGGAUGGUAUUGGCUGACAGUUUUGGUAGCUUCAGUCACACCACUGCAUCUUCAGGCCCCUCUCCCCAUUUCAAGUUUAGAGAGCCACCCAUUCUGUAAAAGAAAAAGAAAACCACUGUUCUAGUUGUUCGAGUUAAGCCAGGCCAAGCAGUUGGCGGCUUUGGGGGGCAUUUAGGCAGAAAUAACCCACUGAGUUUUUUCCCCCUUCUCCACUUCUAGUGAUGACUAAGUCACCUGAAGCAAACAUUAUACAAACCUUAUCCUAAUAUCAUGGGAAAUCCUCAGACAACAGAAAGAAGAGACUUACUGAGGAGCAAGCUAUGACUUUGUUUCAUUUUAAUAGCUUGUGCUGACUGGGAACCUUAAAAUAAAUUCCAUGGAAUGUUUUUAGUGAUAUUUUCCUGGCCAAUCUAUCAGAUGGAUUGGAGCACAAGGCUUGCUCCCUACUUUAACAGCCACACAUAAAGUUUGCCUGACUCCAUGACAGAAGCACCAUGCAUCCCACAUCAUGUUGUAAAGAGGGAAGCCCAAGUUUAUUUUGCAGCCCCUUUCAGGUCCUCGGGAGUUGCUGCAGUCUGGUUAUAACCUGCCGGGAGUCCUCAUUUCUUUGCCAGCUUUUGGUGGCCAGGUGGCCUCCCAUGCUGAACCCUAAGUAAACUGAGGUCCACUUGCAAUGCUUUGUGACAGAAUGUUGCCAGAUGACAAAGGACAGGGACAGGGCUGAGUUGGAGUCUGACUGGUCUGGUUUUAGGCAUCAGCCCUACGCUGUCCUCACUUGGCAGAGGGGAGGGUGUGGAGGGAGGAUCAUCUCAUGGCCAUUGUGCUCAGCUCAGUUCAGCUCAUGCUAGGUCUAUGUUUGGAGGGUGAGCCAGUGUUGUGGCCUGUGGAGGGGACUUGGCAGAGGGGGAAAUGAUGAAGAGGAUAUGCUGGGCCUAUUCAUAGAGGCGCUAAGCACUGCAAGGCUGUGUGCAUAUUAUAAGACUAUAUUGGGCCAGGCAUGGUGGCUCACCCCUGUAAUCCCAGCACUUUGGGAGGCCGAGGCGGGUGGAUCACCUCAGGUCGGGAGUUUGAGACCAGCCUGGCCAACGUGGUGAAACCCCAUCUUUACUGAAAAUACAAAAAUUAGCCAGGCAUGGUGGCAGGUGCCUAUAAUCCAGCUACUUGGGAGGCUGAGGCAGGAGAAUUGCUUGAACCUGGGAGGCAGAGGUUGUAGUUAGCUGAGAUCACGCCAUUGCACUCCAGCCUGGGCAAGAAGAGUGAAACUCUGUUUCAAAAAAAAAAAAAAAAAGACUAUAUUAAUAUAAAAUAUAAAUGUUCAGAAAUAAUACUAGAGUAAGAGGAUUAGAGUAUGAGUCGUUUAGUGGCUCCUGGUACUAUUGCGUUUAUAUAUUUUAAAAAUUGUAUAAAGUUGUACAACAUGAUGCUUUGAUACACAUAAACAUAGUGAAGUGAUUACUACAAUUAAGCAAAUUAACGUAUCCCUUAUCUCACAGGUACUUUUUUGGGUAAUAAGAGUACCUCAAAUCUCUC